rnacentral:rRNA from 1 species
UACGGAGGAUCCAAGCGUUAUCCGGAAUCAUUGGGUUUAAAGGGUCCGUAGGCGGACGGCUAAGUCAGUGGUGAAAUUCUGCAGCUCAACUGUAGAACUGCCAUUGAUACUGGCCGUCUUGAAUUAGUGUGAAGUGGCUAGAAUAUGUAGUGUAGCGGUGAAAUGCUUAGAUAUUACAUAGAAUACCGAUUGCGAAGGCAGGUCACUAACACUAUAUUGACGCUGAUGGACGAAAGCGUGGGGAGCGAACAGG